rnacentral:rRNA from 1 species
CAGUCGUACCGGCGGAUAAUCAGCCUUUCGGGUGCGAUUCUGUGGGGCGUGAGGAGUUUAGUCACCCUCAUGUUUUACGUAUUCGUGCUCUUGGGUGUACUUGCCCGUGUGGUAGGUUAACAUCAAUUUUGGUCGUCAUAAAAUGACUGGAGGAUGUAGCUUUGGUCUCGUAUCGAAGUGUUAUAGACUCUGGUAGAUGUGACGAUUGGGGAUUGAGGAUUGCAACGGGACUACCCGUUCGGGGCUACGUCGUCUGAUCUCUGAAGGUU